rnacentral:rRNA from 1 species
AAGCGGCAACAGCUCAAAUUUGAAAUCUGGCCUCUUUGGGGUCCGAGUUGUAAUUUGUAGAGGAUGUUUCGGGUACCGCCUCGGUCUAAAUUUCUUGGAACAGAAUGUCAGAGAGGGUGAGAAUCCCGUCUUGGACCGGCGGUAGGGCCCAUGUGAAACUCCUUCGACGAGUCGAGUUGUUUGGGAAUGCAGCUCAAAAUGGGUGGUAUAUUUCAUCUAAAGCUAAAUAUUGGCCAGAGACCGAUAGCGCACAAGUAGAGUGAUCGAAAGAUGAAAAGAACUUUGAAAAGAGAGUUAAACAGUAUGUGAAAUUGUUGAAAGGGAAGCGCUUGCAACCAGACUUGAGCGCGGCGGUUCCCCCUUCCUUUUGGUUGGGUUACUCCGUCGUGUCCAGGCCAACAUCGGUUCUGGGGGUCGGUUAAAGGCCUGGGGAAUGUAUCUACGUCUUCGGGCGUAGACUUAUAGCCCCGGGUGUCAUGCGACCUCCCGGGACCGAGGAACG